CAACCACAAACAUCCAAACGUCAAAAGAGCAAGGAAAAACUACCACGUCGAGAAAAAAUUACAUUAUUGGCAUCAAGGCUGGAUUAUAUGCCAAUUUCAUUUCCUUUUGAAAUAGCAAGGAAUUGAGAAUGGAAACAUAUCUUCGAAGAGUUCUAUGAUCCCAAGUUCAAAAGUAAUCAAAAUAACCAGAAAUCAUUCAUGACAAAUGUCCACGGGGAGAAAAAGUUUUUUCUUUCUCAGUUCCUUUUGAUAGUUCUAAAAACAACUAUUGCACAUCCUAAAACUUCCUAGUAACGAUUGCCGUGCUGGUGCUGCAGAGUACACAUGUUAGCAUGUAUCUCAUAUGAGAAAACGAUAAGACUAGGGUGAAUAUAUUCGCAGAAUACAAACCUCUGGAGCCAUCCAACGAUAUGUUCCAGUUUCUGCAGUCAUCACACCAGAUUGAGAUUGCACUCUGGCAACACCAAAAUCAGCUACCUUGACAACCUGUCAAACAUUUUGGUUUAAAGGUGGGACUGAAAUAAAAAAACAAUCUGAUA